rnacentral:misc_RNA from 1 species
CACACCCUCCGUCAGCCCCUUUGCUGGGGUUCGAUCGGGUCCUGAGCGGUGGGAGCCUUCACAGGCCUCGCCCUCUAAAGUGGAAAGCCAGCGGCCCGCCCGCCCAUGAAAGACGUAGUAAUAUCUCAAUGAAUCGUCCGCGAAAGGGUUUUUUGGUUGGGUUUGCCUCAAAUCUUCUUCUCAAG